GGUUAAGCGACUAAGCGUACACGGUGGAUGCCCUGGCAGUCAGAGGCGAUGAAGGACGUGCUAAUCUGCGAUAAGCGUCGGUAAGGUGAUAUGAACCGUUAUAACCGGCGAUUUCCGAAUGGGGAAACCCAGUGUGUUUCGACACACUAUCAUUAACUGAAUCCAUAGGUUAAUGAGGCGAACCGGGGGAACUGAAACAUCUAAGUACCCCGAGGAAAAGAAAUCAACCGAGAUUCCCCCAGUAGCGGCGAGCGAACGGGGAGCAGCCCAGAGCCUGAAUCAGUGUGUGUGUUAGUGGAAGCGUCUGGAAAGGCGCGCGAUACAGGGUGACAGCCCCGUACACAAAAAUGCACAUGCUGUGAGCUCGAUGAGUAGGGCGGGACACGUGGUAUCCUGUCUGAAUAUGGGGGGACCAUCCUCCAAGGCUAAAUACUCCUGACUGACCGAUAGUGAACCAGUACCGUGAGGGAAAGGCGAAAAGAACCCCGGCGAGGGGAGUGAAAAAGAACCUGAAACCGUGUACGUACAAGCAGUGGGAGCCUCUUUUAUGGGGUGACUGCGUACCUUUUGUAUAAUGGGUCAGCGACUUAUAUUCUGUAGCAAGGUUAACCGAAUAGGGGAGCCGAAGGGAAACCGAGUCUUAACUGGGCGUUAAGUUGCAGGGUAUAGACCCGAAACCCGGUGAUCUAGCCAUGGGCAGGUUGAAGGUUGGGUAACACUAACUGGAGGACCGAACCGACUAAUGUUGAAAAAUUAGCGGAUGACUUGUGGCUGGGGGUGAAAGGCCAAUCAAACCGGGAGAUAGCUGGUUCUCCCCGAAAGCUAUUUAGGUAGCGCCUCGUGAAUUCAUCUCCGGGGGUAGAGCACUGUUUCGGCAAGGGGGUCAUCCCGACUUACCAACCCGAUGCAAACUGCGAAUACCGGAGAAUGUUAUCACGGGAGACACACGGCGGGUGCUAACGUCCGUCGUGAAGAGGGAAACAACCCAGACCGCCAGCUAAGGUCCCAAAGUCAUGGUUAAGUGGGAAACGAUGUGGGAAGGCCCAGACAGCCAGGAUGUUGGCUUAGAAGCAGCCAUCAUUUAAAGAAAGCGUAAUAGCUCACUGGUCGAGUCGGCCUGCGCGGAAGAUGUAACGGGGCUAAACCAUGCACCGAAGCUGCGGCAGCGACGCUGAUGCGUUGUUGGGUAGGGGAGCGUUCUGUAAGCCUGUGAAGGUGUGCUGUGAGGCAUGCUGGAGGUAUCAGAAGUGCGAAUGCUGACAUAAGUAACGAUAAAGCGGGUGAAAAGCCCGCUCGCCGGAAGACCAAGGGUUCCUGUCCAACGUUAAUCGGGGCAGGGUGAGUCGACCCCUAAGGCGAGGCCGAAAGGCGUAGUCGAUGGGAAACAGGUUAAUAUUCCUGUACUUGGUGUUACUGCGAAGGGGGGACGGAGAAGGCUAUGUUGGCCGGGCGACGGUUGUCCCGGUUUAAGCGUGUAGGCUGGUUUUCCAGGCAAAUCCGGAAAAUCAAGGCUGAGGCGUGAUGACGAGGCACUACGGUGCUGAAGCAACAAAUGCCCUGCUUCCAGGAAAAGCCUCUAAGCAUCAGGUAACAUCAAAUCGUACCCCAAACCGACACAGGUGGUCAGGUAGAGAAUACCAAGGCGCUUGAGAGAACUCGGGUGAAGGAACUAGGCAAAAUGGUGCCGUAACUUCGGGAGAAGGCACGCUGAUAUGUAGGUGAAGUCCCUUGCGGAUGGAGCUGAAAUCAGUCGAAGAUACCAGCUGGCUGCAACUGUUUAUUAAAAACACAGCACUGUGCAAACACGAAAGUGGACGUAUACGGUGUGACGCCUGCCCGGUGCCGGAAGGUUAAUUGAUGGGGUCAGCGCAAGCGAAGCUCUUGAUCGAAGCCCCGGUAAACGGCGGCCGUAACUAUAACGGUCCUAAGGUAGCGAAAUUCCUUGUCGGGUAAGUUCCGACCUGCACGAAUGGCGUAAUGAUGGCCAGGCUGUCUCCACCCGAGACUCAGUGAAAUUGAACUCGCUGUGAAGAUGCAGUGUACCCGCGGCAAGACGGAAAGACCCCGUGAACCUUUACUAUAGCUUGACACUGAACAUUGAGCCUUGAUGUGUAGGAUAGGUGGGAGGCUUUGAAGUGUGGACGCCAGUCUGCAUGGAGCCGACCUUGAAAUACCACCCUUUAAUGUUUGAUGUUCUAACGUUGACCCGUAAUCCGGGUUGCGGACAGUGUCUGGUGGGUAGUUUGACUGGGGCGGUCUCCUCCUAAAGAGUAACGGAGGAGCACGAAGGUUGGCUAAUCCUGGUCGGACAUCAGGAGGUUAGUGCAAUGGCAUAAGCCAGCUUGACUGCGAGCGUGACGGCGCGAGCAGGUGCGAAAGCAGGUCAUAGUGAUCCGGUGGUUCUGAAUGGAAGGGCCAUCGCUCAACGGAUAAAAGGUACUCCGGGGAUAACAGGCUGAUACCGCCCAAGAGUUCAUAUCGACGGCGGUGUUUGGCACCUCGAUGUCGGCUCAUCACAUCCUGGGGCUGAAGUAGGUCCCAAGGGUAUGGCUGUUCGCCAUUUAAAGUGGUACGCGAGCUGGGUUUAGAACGUCGUGAGACAGUUCGGUCCCUAUCUGCCGUGGGCGCUGGAGAACUGAGGGGGGCUGCUCCUAGUACGAGAGGACCGGAGUGGACGCAUCACUGGUGUUCGGGUUGUCAUGCCAAUGGCACUGCCCGGUAGCUAAAUGCGGAAGAGAUAAGUGCUGAAAGCAUCUAAGCACGAAACUUGCCCCGAGAUGAGUUCUCCCUGACUCCUUGAGAGUCCUGAAGGAACGUUGAAGACGACGACGUUGAUAGGCCGGGUGUGUAAGCGCAGCGAUGCGUUGAGCUAACCGGUACUAAUGAACCGUGAGGCUUAACCUU
rnacentral:rRNA from 1 species